rnacentral:lncRNA from 1 species
UCUUAGUCCUUGAAUGACAUCUGAGGUCUGAUCAGCAGUUUAAAUUUUGACUAAUUUUCUGAUUUUUUGUUGGAUGUGCAGUAAAGAGCUAAUGACUUGUGGUGAUGAAGGUUCGAGAAUUGGAAAUAGUGGUCUGUGGAGUUGAAGAGGGUAGUGGAGGCAGCCAUGGCUACCUGUCAGUGUAGUGAGUUGAUGGUGAUAUUGGUGGUAGGUAGUUCUACGCAGGGAAAUAGCGGUCGACUCUGAAAUUUGAUGGCUGAGUUGAAGAAAGUUAAGGGGGUGGAGACAGGGCUUGGGACAUGCUAAUGCAUGGAGGUGAUGGUAGAAGAGGCGAUGGUUCUAAACAUGGAAACAAUGGCCUCUGCAGUUUGAUGGCAAGGGAUGAUGAAAGAUGAGUAGUGGAGUCGGAGUCGGGCUUUUAGACGGGCGAUAAUGCAUAGAGGUGGAGGCCAAUUGCUAUACAAAUGCAAUUAGCCCUUGACAGCAC